rnacentral:rRNA from 1 species
UACGUAGGGGGCAAGCGUUGUCCGGAUUUAUUGGGCGUAAAGAGCGUGUAGGCGGCCACGUAGGUCAGCUGUGAAAACUCGAGGCUCAACCUCGAGCUGUCGGCUGAAACCAUCUGGCUAGAGUCCGGAAGAGGAGAAUGGAAUUCCCGGUGUAGCGGUGAAAUGCGCAGAUAUCGGGAAGAACACCCGUGGCGAAGGCGGUUCUCUGGGACGGUACUGACGCUGAGACGCGAAAGCGUGGGGAGCGAACAGG